ensembl:snRNA U2 U2 spliceosomal RNA
AUCGCUUCUCGGCCUUUUGGCUAAGAUCAAGUGUAGAAUCAGGGUAAUGCUAGCUUCCAAGAAUGACUUUGGGAGUACUCCUUCCCUUUCAAUUUUAUUAAAGAGUUUGAGGACUAUUGACAUUAGAUCUUUCCUAGAGUUCUUGUAGAAUUUUGCAGUGAAUCAAUUGGGAUCUGGGCUUA